rnacentral:pre_miRNA from 1 species
AUAACAACAUUCGGACCGUCGGACUACAGAGCAAUAUCACCCGCUCGAUGGAAGAUCUUCCCUUCGUCGGUUAAG